rnacentral:rRNA from 1 species
AUUGAACGCUGGCGGCAGGCUUAACACAUGCAAGUCGAGCGGAGAUGAGGUGCUUGCACCUUAUCUUAGCGGCGGACGGGUGAGUAAUGCUUAGGAAUCUGCCUAUUAGUGGGGGACAACAUUCCGAAAGGAAUGCUAAUACCGCAUACGUCCUACGGGAGAAAGCAGGGGAUCUUCGGACCUUGCGCUAAUAGAUGAGCCUAAGUCGGAUUAGCUAGUUGGUGGGGUAAAGGCCUACCAAGGCGACGAUCUGUAGCGGGUGUGAGAGGAUGAUCCACCACACUGGGACUGGGACACGGCCCAGACUCCUACGGGAGGCAGCAGUGGGGAAUAUUGGACAAUGGGCGGAAGCCUGAUCCAGCCAUGCCGCGUGUGUGAAGAAGGCCUUUUGGUUGUAAAGCACUUUAAGCGAGGAGGAGGCUACCUAGAUUAAUACUCUGGGAUAGUGGACGUUACUCGCAGAAUAAGCACCGGCUAACUCUGUGCCAGCAGCCGCCGUAACAC